rnacentral:rRNA from 1 species
UACAGAGGUCCCGAGCGUUGUUCGGAUUCACUGGGCGUAAAGGGUGCGUAGGUGGUUGGGUAAGUCUGAUGUGAAAUCUCCGGGCUCAACCCGGAAAUGGCAUUGGAUACUAUUCGGCUAGAGGUUUGGAGGGGGGACUGGAAUUCUCGGUGUAGCAGUGAAAUGCGUAGAUAUCAGGAGGAACACCCGUGGCGAAGGCGGCUCUCUGGGACGGUACUGACGCUGAGACGCGAAAGCGUGGGGAGCGAACAGG